AGCCCUGUGGUGUAUGACACGUUUGAUUGCAAAUCUUAAGGCGCAGGCUUACCGCCUGCUGGGGCUU
rnacentral:tRNA from 1 species